rnacentral:rRNA from 1 species
UACAGAGGGGGCAAGCGUUGUCCGGAUUUACUGGGCGUACAGCGCGCGCAGGCGGUUGCGUAUGUGAGCGGGGACAUCCGCGGGCUCAACCCGCGGCGGCCCGCUUACACAGCGCGACUGGAGGCAGGGAGAGGGAUGUGGAAUACCCGGUGGAGCGGUGAAAUGCGUAGAGAUCGGGUGGAACACCAGCGGCGAAGGCGGCAUCCUGGCCCUGUACUGACGCUGAGGCGCGAUAGCGUGGGGAGCAAACGGG